rnacentral:rRNA from 1 species
AACGAACGCUGGCGGCACGUUUUAAGCAUGCAAGUCGAAUGGCAGUGGGGGCAACCCCAUGAGAAUGGCGAACGGGUGAGUAACACGUAGGUGAUCUGCCUGACGGAUGGGGAUAGCUUGUGGAAACACAGGGUAAUACCGAAUGAGCUGACGAGACUUUGGUUUUGUUAGUACAGGUGCUACGGCACCGCCGACAGAGGAGCCUGCGGCUGAUUAGCUAGUUGGUGGGGUAAAGGCCUACCAAGGCGACGAUCAGUAGCCGGCCUGAGAGGGUGUACGGCCACACUGGAACUGAGACACGGUCCAGACUCCUACGGGAGGCAGCAGCUAAGAAUCUUCCGCAAUGGGCGAAAGCCUGACGGAGCGAUGCCGCGUGAUCGAUGAAGGUCGAGAGAUUGUAAAGAUCUUUUCUACAUGAGGAAUAAGUCUGGGAGGGAAUGCCUGGAUGAUGACGUUAGUGUAGGAAUAAGCCCCGGCUAAUUACGUGCCAGCAGCCGCAGUAA